rnacentral:rRNA from 1 species
UUUAGUUGCCAUCAUUCAGUUGGGCACUCUAAAGAGACUGCCGGUGUCAAACCGGAGGAAGGUGGGGAUGACGUCAAGUCCUCAUGGCCUUUAUGACCAGGGCUACACACGUACUACAAUGGCCGGUACAAAGGGCAGCCACUUAGCGAUAAGGAGCCAAUCCCGUAAAGCCGGUCUCAGUCCGGAUUGGAGUCUGCAACUCGACUCCAUGAAGUUGGAAUCGCUAGUAAUCGCAGAUCAGCACGCUGCGGUGAAUACGUUCCCGGGCCUU